rnacentral:lncRNA from 1 species
UCCAAGGCUGGGCACACCAGUGGAGCCAGUAAAAGCAUCUAGUGUUCAAUGGCAGAGGCAUUCAUGUUCUCCCUGUCCAGUCUUGCCAUUUGAUAUUUGUCCCAGGCCUAGUUCUUAGCCCUCCUGGACUCCAUGAGCUACCCUUUUAAUUCACCUCCUGUAUUAGUCUGCUUUCACACUGCUAAUAAAGACAUACUUGAGAAUGGGUAGUUUAUAAAUACUUUAAGUCAAAAGAACGAUUGUAAAAAUGAGAGCCUCCCAGUACUCAGCACUCUCUAUGUGCAAGGCCAUAUCUAGCUACAUAGGUGCCUGGGAAGGCUAAUAUCAAAUGGCUCAGCAAUAUGGUGCCUUUCAAACCAACAGUCUUUAAAUAUAUGUCCAAAAUUUACAGUCUAGUGGCCUUUCAAAGGUGACAACUCAUUUCUCCCCCCCCCACCCCCCACACACUCACAUCUCUAGCUAGAAUAUAUUCAAAGGGAGAGGUGAUUGAUGGUUCCCAAGUGGAGAUGGUUCUUUUCAGGACUGCCCUGGCUGCUACUCUGAGUUGGUUUCAGGAACUACAGCCUUGCCGGGGGAGGGAAAACAGCAUUUUAAAUUGAAUUAAUUAAUUCAAGAAACAUGUACUGAGUAUAUCUUACAUGUCAGGCACUCUGCUAGGGAUUUGGAAUUCUACAGUGAACACAAUAUGGUCCUUUUUCUCUAGGAGACAGAUUCACAGACAGGCAGGUGCUGAACAGUGAGAAAAGCUCUUUGAUGGUGAGAGCAUUCAAUUGGGAAAGGCCUGCAAUCAAGACUGGUAUAGGAGGAAAGCAUGCAAGGAAGGCUUCCUGGAGGAAGCAGCAUUUAGGCUAAAGGCUGUAUAUAAACAGAAGUUUGCCAGGCAAAAGGUGAUCCAGAAAGAAGGAACACAGAAGCCCAGGGAGCACCCCAGCCUCUCCCUUAAGCCUGCCUCAGGCAGGGCUGCAUCUUCUGGGAGCCCUCCUUACACUUCAGCCCUCAAGGCAGCCCAGUGGCCAGGAGCACAACCUUCAAUGUAAAUCACCAAAAUCCUCAAAGCUCUCUCUCUGGGCUGUUCCAGGCUUGGGG